rnacentral:rRNA from 1 species
AUUGAACGCUGGCGGCAGGCCUAACACAUGCAAGUCGGACGGUAGCACAGAGGAGCUUGCUCCUCGGGUGACGAGUGGCGGACGAGUGAGUAAUGUCUGGGGAUCUGCCCGAUAGAGGGGGAUAACCACUGGAAACGGUGGCUAAUACCGCAUAACGUCGCAAGACCAAAGAGGGGGACCUUCGGGCCUCUCACUAUCGGAUGAACCCAGAUGGGAUUAGCUAGUAGGCGGGGUAAUGGCCCACCUAGGCGACGAUCCCUAGCUGGUCUAAGAGGAUGACCAGCCACACUGGAACUGAGACACGGUCCAGACUCCUACGGGAGGCAGCAGUGGGGAAUAUUGCACAAUGGGCGCAAGCCUGAUGCAGACAUGCCGCGUGUAUGAAGAAGGCCAUCGGGUUGUAAAGUACUUUCAGCGGGGAGGAAGGCGGUGAGGUUAAUAACCUCGCCGAUUGACGUUACCCGCAGAAGAAGCACCGGCUAACUCCGUGCCAGCCGCCGCAGUAA